GGGUUGUGAGGUUAAGCGACUAAGCGUACACGGUGGAUGCCCUGGCAGUCAGAGGCGAUGAAGGGCGUGCUAAUCUGCGAUAAGCGCCGGUAAGGUGAUAUGAACCGUUAUAACCGGCGAUACCCGAAUGGGGAAACCCAGUGUGACUCGUCACACUAUCAUUAACUGAAUCCAUAGGUUAAUGAGGCGAACCGGGGGAACUGAAACAUCUAAGUACCCCGAGGAAAAGAAAUCAACCGAGAUUCCCCCAGUAGCGGCGAGCGAACGGGGAGGAGCCCAGAGCCUGAAUCAGCAUGUGUGUUAGUGGAAGCGUCUGGAAAGGCGCGCGAUACAGGGUGACAGCCCCGUACACAAAAGCGCAUAUGCUGUGAGCUCGAUGAGUAGGGCGGGACACGUGGUAUCCUGUCUGAAUAUGGGGGGACCAUCCUCCAAGGCUAAAUACUCCUGACUGACCGAUAGUGAACCAGUACCGUGAGGGAAAGGCGAAAAGAACCCCGGCGAGGGGAGUGAAAAAGAACCUGAAACCGUGUACGUACAAGCAGUGGGAGCCCCACCACUAAGCCAGUGGUGAACUCCACAUACGCAUCCUUUGCUGAGGAUACGGUUAACGGAGCGAAAGCGACGUUCAACCGCAAAAGAAGCAGAGGGGGCUUAG
rnacentral:rRNA from 1 species